CCUACGGGUGGCAGCAGUGGGGAAUAUUGGACAAUGGGCGAAAGCCUGAUCCAGCCAUGCCGCGUGUGUGAAGAAGGCCUUCGGGUUGUAAAGCACUUUCAGUGGGGAAGAAAGCCUUGGGGCUAAUACCCUCGAGGAAGGACAUCACCCACAGAAGAAGCACCGGCUAACUCCGUGCCAGCAGCCGCGGUAAUACGGAGGGUGCGAGCGUUAAUCGGAAUUACUGGGCGUAAAGCGCGCGUAGGCGGUCUGAUAAGCCGGUUGUGAAAGCCCCGGGCUCAACCUGGGAACGGCAUCCGGAACUGUCAGGCUAGAGUGCAGGAGAGGAAGGUAGAAUUCCCGGUAUAGCGGUGAAAUGCGUAGAGAUCGGGAGGAAUACCAGUGGCGAAGGCGGCCUUCUGGACUGACACUGACGCUGAGGUGCGAAAGCGUGGGUAGCAAACAGGAUUAGAUACCCGUGUAGUC
rnacentral:rRNA from 1 species